rnacentral:lncRNA from 1 species
GUUCAUGAUCCCCAACGAAACGUGAACAGUGAUAUGCUAAACGUUUUGCGCAAACGAUCCGCGUUACAACGAUCUGUUCCAAAGAGGCGACAUUAAAUAUGUGGACAGCCAGAGGUUCCAGAGUAGUCGGCGUAACUCUAUCCAUUCUUAUUCUAGUCGCCUGCUUGGUGACACCAUCUGAGCAGCUAAUUAAAAAGAAGCUGAGACUCCUCUUCCAUGGAGCUCUCAUAGGUGGAGCCGUUGGCGGAGUAGCAGGUUACGCUAUUGCGAAACAUCACAAACCCCAUCACACGGUUUGGGUAGAGAAGUUUCACGAACCAGCGUGGGUUGUGAAAGAACAUGGAUGGCACGGAGGCUGGGAUUAUGGCUGGCAUGGAGGCUGGUGAUGAUCAGGACAUAACAGAUGCGACAUUCUACUAGGCCUUAUUUGCCUCUGCGGUCGUCACCCGAUAAACGCCGUUCGAAGUGUUCAGGAUUAUGUUGUUUGUCUAGACAGAUACCUUGCUAGACACAUGAUAGCGGUUUUCGUCACGAUGCUCAAUUGUUACUGACAGGCGCGGGAUAUCAAUUUAGCUGACGGUGGUGUGUGACUGCAAUCACACUUAUUUGUAAGGAUCUAGGACUUCUUUGGUUUCUUGAAUGGAUAUCUGAAAUUAAUCGAAUGAAGCUGGUGGCCUUUAAAAACUAACGAAGCUGAACCUUCGGCUCAAAAAGGCCUUCCACUGCCAAAACAACGUAACAACAGGCAACGGAAACUGCUCUCAUUUAAAGGCUUUUUCUCCUCUCACAAUUAACGUAACGCAGCCUAUUAGUUUAUGCGGGAACUGCACCGCGGUUUGGAAACAGCCAAACGUAUGAAUAAUAAGCUGAGUUAAUGUUGUGUACUCUUUAUUAUAAGCUUGCUUUAUUUAUAAGUUGACGUAAAUUACGUGAAUCUAUUGUAGCGCACACAUACUUUUAUUGUUAAUCGAUCAUUGAAUAUCGACUGUAUCUACGUAUAUAUCUGGUGGACUAAUGAAAUAAUUAUCCACCUUCUUUCUACUGGAUUGCAUCAACUACGUUUUGAAAGUUCAUAAAAGAACGUUUAUUUUUACGCGGAGGAUACAGAAAUUCUGAUAGACUAGUAAGCCACCAGUUGCCGUUCGCAAAUAUCUCUUAAAGUUGACAAAACCGUAGUCAUCGUGUUAGAACAACUGCAAAGUCCUAUUUGUUCUUCAAACGUGUAGCCUAUUGACUUUUUAACGCCUUGUUUAUUCUUUGUUUGUUAUCCUUUUGGCAUAAAAUAAUCUGGCAUUAAUGAAAAUGGGAAAUCAGUAGAUUUCAAAACAUGACGAUACGAAGCACCGGCUCGAUGUCAUCGGACCACACAAAGUUAACACACUACUAAAUAAUACUAUAGUUUUUCGAAAAAUGUGUAUAUAUAUAUAUAUAUAUAUAUAUAUAUGUGAACAUAAUGUAGCGUUGUGAACAAUAUUAAAAAAAACGACGGGAGACACCCCUCAAAAUAUGUGUAUUUUAUAAAGUAUCCAAUACAUUACCCACAGCUAACUGUUCAUAAUUAUUCUAAGCACGAGAAAUAUCAGAUGUUAAGUUCUUUAAGGCGACUGUUACUCAAAGCCACUCAAAAUUCUUACGUUCAUACUUCUGCGUCUAAGUUAUAUGGUCGUAAUACUCACUUCGAUUAUCACUAGAACAAACCAGCAAUCGUCUGAGAGCUUCGAAAUGAAUACAAAAUGUUAUU